rnacentral:tRNA from 1 species
GCCUUGAUGGUGAAAUGGUAGACACGCGAGACUCAAAAUCUCAUGCUGAAGAGCGUGUGGAGGUUCGAGUCCUCUUCAAGGCA